UUUUCUCUGUUUUGGUAAUAAUUUUCUAUGUCUUGGGGGCAGAUAUCUAUGUUUAGGAUUUGUUAUCUAUGUAUGGGGAAUUCCAAAGGGGUUUCGGAAUUCUAAGAGUCUCUUUAAUGUUAUUGUGUUGUACUGAAGAUUUUUAUCUCUAUAUAAUGCAAGUCCUGGCUGCU